CAACCCUUAAGCCCUCGUUGCUUAGUGUUGGGAGCCUACGGGUCACACCCGUAGCUCCCCAAAGACAGUGGCGGAGUCGGUCUCGCACUCCAGACGUAGUAAAUCUCAUCUCGUCUGCGGUCGUGCCGGUGUCCUGCCGUGAAACACCCCAAUUUCUCAA
rnacentral:misc_RNA from 1 species